GUUUUGGCAAGACAUUUACUAGAAUUGGAACAAUACAGAGAAAAUUAGCAUGGCCCCUUGUACAGGGAUAACAUGCCAGUUUUCAUAUAAGAAGGGAAUCUUU
ensembl:snRNA U6 U6 spliceosomal RNA